rnacentral:rRNA from 1 species
AUUGAACGCUGGCGGCAGGCUUAACACAUGCAAGUCGAGCGGGGUGAUGGUGCUUGCACUAUCACUUAGCGGCGGACGGGUGAGUAACGCUUAGGAAUCUGCCUAUUAGUGGGGGACAACAUCUCGAAAGGGAUGCUAAUACCGCAUACGUCCUACGGGAGAAAGCAGGGGAUCACUUGUGACCUUGCGCUAAUAGAUGAGCCUAAGUCGGAUUAGCUAGUUGGUGGGGUAAAGGCCUACCAAGGCGACGAUCUGUAGCGGGUCUGAGAGGAUGAUCCGCCACACUGGGACUGCGACACGGCCCAGACUCCUGCGGGAGGCAGCAGUGGGGAAUAUUGGACAAUGGGGGGAACCCUGAUCCAGCCAUGCCGCGUGUGUGAAGAAGGCCUUAUGGUUGUAAAGCACUUUAAGCGAGGAGGAGGCUCUUUUGGUUAAUACCCAAGAUGAGUGGACGUUACUCGCAGAAUAAGCACCGGCUAACUCUGUGCCAGCCGCCGCCGUAA